GUCCCAUGUCCUUAAGCCUGAUAUUUUUUUCAUUUGGUCUAAAACCCUCAAGUCUCGAGUAGAGUUUCUCUUUGGGUCACCCACUCACCCCUUCUCCAUCACUCUUCCGCUCUAGCUGUUUCUUUCCCUCAUCAGAUCUAUGAACGAGGAACUAGUGUAGCUUUUGGGUACUCGAAUCCAAAAACCCCAACUACAUUUUUUUCUCUCUUUACUCGCUAGAUCACCCGUUCGUCCAACCCUAGAAUCGUAAAAAACUAGAUUAGUUGCAGUAGCCAUGGCCAUCUCUGCCAUGGACCCAAAAGCCGUGAAAUCGGACUUGGUCUUCAUCCUCGACUACGGCUCCCAUACACCCACCUCAUCACUCGCCGCAUCCGAUCCCUCUCCGUCUUCUCCCUCACCAUCUCCUGCACCAACCCCCUCAAGGCCAUCACCGACCUCAACCCCAGUGUUGUCAUCCUCUCCGGCAGUUCCCAUUCCGUCCACACCGACGACUCCCCCAGCUUCCCAGCCGGGUUCACCGAGUGGACCGAGGCCCACGACUUCUUCGUCCGCGGAAUCUGCUAUGGCUUGCAACUGAUUGUACAGAAGCUUGGCGAGGUGGUUAGGGCUGGGAAGAAGCAAGACUAUGGCAAGAUGGAGAUUGUGGUGGAGAGCAAUUCGGGGAUUUUCCGGGACCAAGAGGGUUGGGGAUAGGCAGGUGGUGUGGAUGAGCCAUGGGGAUGAGGUGGCUAAGUUGCCCCAGAGGUUCUGGGUGAUGGAGCAGAGCUAGCAGGGAGUGGUGGCCGCCAUUGAAAGCCCAGAAAGGAGGUUCUAUGGGAUGAGCCAUGGGGAUGAGGUGGCUAAGUUGCCCCAAGGGUUCCGGGUGAUGGAGCAGAGCUAGCAGGGAGUGGUGGCCGCCAUUGAAAGCCCAGAAAGGAGGUUCUAUGGGCUGCAGUACCACCCUGAGAAGAACCGGCCAUAUUUCACAUUUCUAUCAACUCGAUUGUAAAACUGCAAGUAUGCUGCAUUAUCAAAAGAAGAGUGGGAAGAACAAUUCGCAAGUAUAAACUGCAAGUAUGCUGCAUUACUUGGAGAUUAUAGUUUUAUUCUGAAGCAUAAACAAUGCAGGUUGUUAAAGUGAAAUCAGCCAUCUCAAGGUCUGUUAGCAAGAAGAAAUAGGUGUCAAGUGCUGGGUAUGGUCACAAUCUGAACUGUUAAAAGGUGCAAUCAUCCAUCUUUGGGGCUUCUAUCUCAACCUGGUCGUCUUUUUUACAUUUCAGCAUAUGCAGUGAAAAAUUCUAUGCAAACUCUUAAGGCAAGUGAUUGGCAUCUUAAAGGAGCUAGGAGCAUUUAAUAUAUUCUACAGCCAAGCCACGGGAGGAGAAGAAAAAACAAAUGUCCAACCUCUAGAGUACAUUGUAAAUUAUUUUGCUAGUUAGCUUCAAUAGUAGAUGUAUUUUGAUGGCUGUAAUGACAUUGGAGUUUUCAGAAUGAAUGUGAACAUCAAAGAAUGGCAAGAGCAAACUUAUAUGUGUCA